UACAGAGGUCUCAAGCGUUGUUCGGAUUCAUUGGGCGUAAAGGGUGCGUAGGCGGCGCGGUAAGUCGGGUGUGAAAUCUCGGAGCUUAACUUCGAAACUGCAUUCGAUACUGCCGUGCUUGAGGACUGGAGAGGAGACUGGAAUUUACGGUGUAGCGGUGAAAUGCGUAGAUAUCGUAAGGAAGACCAGUGGCGAAGGCGGGUCUCUGGACAGUUCCUGACACUGAGGCACGAAGGCCAGGGGAGCAAACGGG
rnacentral:rRNA from 1 species